AUUGAGCCUUGAUGUGUAGGAUAGGUGGGAGGCUUUGAAGCGUGGACGCCAGUCUGCGUGGAGCCAACCUUGAAAUACCACCCUUUAAUGUUUGAUGUUCUAACGUUGGCCCCUGACCGGGGUUGCGGACAGUGUCUGGUGGGUAGUUUGACUGGGGCGGUCUCCUCCCAAAGCGUAACGGAGGAGCACGAAGGUUAGCUAAUCCUGGUCGGACAUCAGGAGGUUAGUGCAAUGGCAUAAGCUAGCUUGACUGCGAGCGUGACGGCGCGAGCAGGUGCGAAAGCAGGUCAUAGUGAUCCGGUGGUUCUGAAUGGAAGGGCCAUCGCUCAACGGAUAAAAGGUACUCCGGGGAUAACAGGCUGAUACCGCCCAAGAGUUCAUAUCGACGGCGGUGUUUGGCACCUCGAUGUCGGCUCAUCACAUCCUGGGGCUGAAGUAGGUCCCAAGGGUAUGGCUGUUCGCCAUUUAAAGUGGUACGCGAGCUGGGUUUAGAACGUCGUGAGACAGUUCGGUCCCUAUCUGCCGUGGGCGCUGGAGAAUUGAGGGGGGCUGCUCCUAGUACGAGAGGACCGGAGUGGACGCAUCACUGGUGUUCGGGUUGUCAUGCCAAUGGCACUGCCCGGUAGCUAAAUGCGGAAGAGAUAAGUGCUGAAAGCAUCUAAGCACGAAACUUGCCCCGAGAUGAGUUCUCCCUGAGACUUUAAGUCUCCUGAAGGAACGUUGAAGACGACGACGUUGAUAGGCCGGGUGUGUAAGCGCAGCGAUGCGUUGAGCUAACCGGUACUAAUGAACCGUGAGGCUUAACCUU
rnacentral:rRNA from 1 species